rfam:Gossypium raimondii chromosome 8, whole genome shotgun sequence.
CAGUGACUCGUAGGCAGCGGCUUGGUUAAGGGAACCCACCGGAGCGGUAACGAAAGUGAGUCUUUAGAGGGAAAUUGUCACUACUUAUUGACCCAAACCUGGGUGAUCUAUCUAUGACUAGGAUGGUGCUUGGGUGAAACUAAGUGGAGGUCUGAACUAAUUGAUGUUGAAGAAUCGGCGGAUAAGUUGUGGUUUGGGGUGAAAUGCCACUCGAACCCAGAGCUAGCUGGUUCUCCCCAAAAAAUGUUGAGGCGCAGCAGUUGACUGGAUAUCUAGGGGUAAAGUAGUGUUUCGGUGCAGGCUGCGAGAGUGGAACCAAAUCGAGAAAAACUCUGAAUACUAGAUAUGACCUCAAAAUAACAGGGGUCUUUAGCCUAGAAUAUAGAUGCACACAUGCAUAAAUUUGAUGAUGACAAUAGUGGGUCUGAGUGAGAUGAGUCGUCUUUUUGGUAUGAUGAGUGGCACUAUAAUGAAGGACAAAGUUG